rnacentral:lncRNA from 1 species
UUUUUGUACCAUUUUGAUAUUUAUUAAUAAACUGAUAGGGAUCCACACCAAACCCUCCACCUAACAAGAUGGCUUUAUAUUUAAAUCCCUAGUUCUCAAUUUUUUUUAAUUUAUUCAUGCUUUUUUUUAAAAAAAUUAAAAAUUAUAAACAUGCCGUCCAAAUAGACCGUGCCAUGGCACAGCCUAUUUCAAGGGGCCUGGGCCG